UACGGAGGGGGCUAGCGUUGUUCGGAAUUACUGGGCGUAAAGCGCACGUAGGCGGCUUUGUAAGUUAGAGGUGAAAGCCCGGGGCUCAACCCCGGAACGGCCUUUGAAACUAGGUAGCUAGAGUCUUGGAGAGGUCAGUGGAAUUCCGAGUGUAGAGGUGAAAUUCGUAGAUAUUCGGAAGAACACCAGUGGCGAAGGCGACUGACUGGACAAGUACUGACGCUGAGGCACGAAAGCGUGGGGAGCAAACAGG
rnacentral:rRNA from 1 species